UCCGGCUAACUUCGUGCCAGCAGCCGCGGUAAUACGAAGGGACCUAGCGUAAUUCGGAAUUACUGGGCGUAAAGCGCGCGUAGGCGGUUAAGUAAGUUAAUUGUGAAAGCCCAAAGCUCAACUUUGGAAUUGCAAUUAAAACUACUUAGCUAGAGUUUAUCAGAGGAAAGCGGAAUACAUAGUGUAGAGGUGAAAUUCGUAGAUAUUAUGUAGAACACCAGUUGCGAAGGCGGCUUUCUGGGAUAACACUGACGCUGAGGUGCGAAAGUAUGGGUAGCGAAGAGGAUUAGAUACCCUCGUAGUCCAUACCGUAAACGAUGAUUGUUAGAUGUUGGAAAUUUAUUUUCAGUAUCACAGCUAACGCGUUAAACAAUCCGCCUGGGGAGUACGACCGCAAGGUUAAAACUCAAAUGAAUUGACGGGGACCCGCACAAGUGGUGGAGCAUGUGGUUUAAUUCGAAGCUACGCGCAGAACCUUACCAACACUUGACAUGUCUGUCGCGGAUUCCAGAGAUGGAUUCCUUCGGUUCGGCCGGACAGAACACAGGUGCUGCAUGGCUGUCGUCAGCUCGUGUCGUGAGAUGUUGGGUUAAGUCCCGCAACGAGCGCAACCCCUACUUCUAGUUGCCAUCAGGUUAAGCUGGGCACUCUAGUAGGACUGCCUGUGAUAAGCAGGAGGAAGGUUGGGAUGACGUCAAGUCCUCAUGGCCCUUACGUGUUGGGCUACACACGUGCUACAAUGGCAGUGACAAUGAGAUGCUAAACAGCGAUGUUAAGCUAAACUCAAAAACCUGCCUCAGUUCGGAUUGCACUCUGCAACUCGAGUGCAUGAAGCUGGAAUCGCUAGUAAUCGCUCAUCAGCGCGGAGCGGUGAAUACGUUCCCGGGUCUUGUACACACCGCCCGUCACACCAUGGAAGUGGAUUAUACCUUAAGGCAUGUCACUAACCCUCGGGAAGUGCGUGACCACGGUAUGAUCGGCGACUGGGGUGAAGUCGUAACAAGGUAGCCGUAGGGGAACCUGCGGCUG
rnacentral:rRNA from 1 species